ensembl:lncRNA novel transcript
CAUGAAAUUUGGUAAUCAGGUGAUCUUCAACAUUAGAAGCUCUAAUGGGUUCUGCCCUGGUGAUGGCCCUUCCCCAGUCUGGACAACACACUUCAAGAGUAAAACUUUGCUGUAAAUAAAUGAAUCAACAAACAAAUGAAUAACAA